GUUGGGAUGAUGAAAAAAAACAAAUCAGUCGGAUUCGCAUUGAUUUUCAUUAACGUGAUAAAACAACCACUUCUGACUAAC